AUACUUACCUGGUGCCGGGGUAUUGUCGAUCAUUGAGGACGAGCCCCCAGGGCGGGGCGCGGGCGUUGCACUGCGCCCGCAUUGGCCCGUGCCACAACCCGAAACUAGGGCAUCUGGUUCCUAAAAAUUGC
rnacentral:snRNA from 1 species